rnacentral:other from 1 species
UUUUCCCUGCGGUGUUCGCGAAGGCAUACAUUCCUUUGAACCAAUAAGUUCGCUUUAGGUUGCUGGGAGUUGCAGUGGGCGUGAGCGUUCUUAUUUGAAUGCACCCGAAACUGUCCGAGGCGACCGCCUUGUUUGACAAGGUUCAAGCGGAUUGAGCCGAAACGGCACGGUGGGGAAACC